rnacentral:snRNA from 1 species
CUGCCUCCUUCAGCAACAUGUAAACUAAAAGUGGAACAAUACAGAGAAGAUAGGCAUGGCCACUGCACAAGGGUGACAUGCAAAUUUGUGAAGCAUUUCAUAUUUUU